rnacentral:rRNA from 1 species
GACGUAGGGCGCGAGCGUUGUCCGGAUUUAUUGGGCGUAAAGGGUUCGUAGGCGGCUCAACAAGUUGGGUGUGAAACCUCCAGGCUUAACCUGGAGACGCCACUCAAGACUGUUGUGGCUAGAGACCGGUAGGGGAGCAGGGAAUAUCCGGUGUAGCGGUGAAAUGCUUAGAUAUCGGGUGGAACACCAGUGGCGAAGGCGCUGCUCUGGGCCGGAACUGACGCUGAUGAACGAAAGCGUGGGUAGCAAACAGG